ACUUUGGUGGCGACCGGCGCACGGGUGAGUAACGCGUAUCGCAACCUACCUAUCAGAGGGGAAUAACCCGGCGAAAGUCGGACUAAUACCGCAUAAAACAGGGGCACCGCAUGGUGAUAUUUGUUAAAGAAAUUCGCUGAUAGAUGGGCAUGCGUUCCAUUAGGUAGUUGGUGAGGUAACGGCUCACCAAGCCGACGAUGGAUAGGGGAACUGAGAGGUUGGUCCCCCACACUGGUACUGAGACACGGACCAGACUCUACGGGAGGCAGCAGUGAGGAAUAUUGGUCAAUGGGCGAGAGCCUGAACCAGCCAAGUCGCGUGAAAGGAAGAAGGAUCUAUGGUUCGUAAACUUCUUUUGCAGGGGAAUAAAGUGCAGGACGUGUCCUGUUUUGUAUGUACCCUGAGAAUAAGGAUCGGCUAACUCCGUGCCAGCCGCUGC
rnacentral:rRNA from 1 species